UACGUAGGGUGCAGGCGUUACUCGGAAUUACUGGGCGUAAAGCGUGCGCAGGCGGUUUCUUAAGUCAGCUGUGAAAGCCCCGGGCUUAACCUGGGAACUGCGUUUGAAACUGGGAGACUUGAGUGUGGCAGAGGGGGGUGGAAUUCCACGUGUAGCAGUGAAAUGCGUAGAUAUGUGGAGGAACACCGAUGGCGAAGGCAGCCCCCUGGGUUAACACUGACGCUCAUGCACGAAAGCGUGGGGAGCAAACAGG
rnacentral:rRNA from 1 species